AGAUUGAACGCUGGCGGCAUGCCUAACACAUGCAGGUCGAACGGGAGUAGCAAUACUCUAGUGGCGGACGGGUGAGGAAUACGUAGGAAUUUGCCCUUAAGUGGGGGAUAACCCGGGGAAACCCGGAUUAAUACCGCAUGACCUCGAAAGAGCAAAGUGGGGGAUCGCAAGACCUCACGCUUUUGGAGAAGCCUACGUCGGAUUAGCUAGUUGGUGAGGUAAUGGCUCACCAAGGCGACGAUCCGUAACUGGUCUGAGAGGAUGAUCAGUCACACCGGAACUGAGACACGGUCCGGACUCCUACGGGAGCAGCAGUGGGAAUAUGGACAAUGGGCGCAAGCCUGAUCCAGCAAUGACCGCGUGUGUGAAGAAGGCCUUACGGUGUUAAGCGACGUUUAAGUUAGGGUAAGUAAAAAC
rnacentral:rRNA from 1 species